rnacentral:rRNA from 1 species
AUUGAACGCUGGCGGCAGGCCUAACACAUGCAAGUCGAACGGUAACAGGAAGCAGCUUGCUGCUUUGCUGACGCGUGGCGGACGGGUGAGUAAUGUCUGGGAAACUGCCCGAUGGAGGGGGAUAACUACUGGAAACGGUAGCUAAUACCGCAUAACGUCGCAAGACCAAAGAGGGGGACCUUAGGGCCUCUUGCCAUCGGAUGUGCCCCGAUGGGAUUAGCUAGUAGGUGGGGUAACGGCUCACCUAGGCGACGAUCCCUAGCUGGUCUGAGAGGAUGACCAGCCACACUGGAACUGAGACACGGUCCAGACUCCUACGGGAGGCAGCAGUGGGGAAUCUUGCACAAUGGGCGCAAGCCUGAUGCAGCCAUGCCGCGUGUAUGAAGAAGGCCUUCGGGUUGUAAAGUACUUUCAGCGGGGAGGAAGGGAGUAAAGUUAAUACCUUUGCUCAUUGACGUUACCCGCAGAAGAAGCACCGGCUAACUCCGUG